rnacentral:rRNA from 1 species
CCUGAUAUGUUGGUUCAAGCCUGUAGUCGUGCCUGGUAGGUAAAUCCGCCGGGCUUAGAUGAGGGGUGAUAACGAGAGGGCUUGCCCUCGAAGUGAGUGAUACCCUGCUUCCAGGAAAAGCCACUAAGCUUCAGCUGCACACGACCGUACCGCAAACCGACACUGGUGCGCGAGAUGAGUAUUCUCAGGCGCUUGAGAGAACUCGGGAGAAGGAACUCGGCAAAUUGACACCGUAACUUCGGAAGAAGGUGUGCCUUUAGUAGGUGAAGUCCCUCGCGGAUGGAGCCCAAUGAGGUUGCAAAGAAUCGGUGGCUGCGACUGUUUAAUAAAAACACAGCACUCUGCAAACACGAAAGUGGACGUAUAGGGUGUGACGCCUGCCCGGUGCUGGAAGAUUAAGUGAUGGGGUGCAAGCUCUUGAUCGAAGUCCCAGUAAACGGCGGCCGUAACAAUAACGGUCCUAAGGUAGCGAAAUUCCUUGUCGGGUAAGUUCCGACCUGCACGAAUGGCGUAACGAUGGCCACACUGUCUCCUCCCGAGACUCAGCGAAGUUGAAAUGUUUGUGAUGAUGCAAUCUCCCCGCGGAAAGACGGAAAGACCCCAUGAACCUUUACUGUAGCUUUGUAUUGGACUUUGAACGGAUCUGUGUAGGAUAGGUGGGAGGCUUUGAAGCCGGGUCGCUAGAUUCGGUGGAGCCAACGUUGAAAUACCACCCUGGUGCGUUUGAGGUUCUAACCUAGGUCCGUAAUCCGGAUCGGGGACAGUGCAUGGUAGGCAGUUUGACUGGGGCGGUCUCCUCCCAAAGCGUAACGGAGGAGUUCGAAGGUACGCUAGUUACGGUCGGACAUCGUGACGAUAGUGCAAUGGCAUAAGCGUGCUUAACUGCGAGACUGACAAGUCGAGCAGAUGCGAAAGCAGGACAUAGUGAUCCGGUGGUUCUGUAUGGAAGGGCCAUCGCUCAACGGAUAAAAGGUACUCUGGGGAUAACAGGCUGAUACCGCCCAAGAGUUCAUAUCGACGGCGGUGUUUGGCACCUCGAUGUCGGCUCAUCUCAUCCUGGGGCUGUAGCCGGUCCCAAGGGUAUGGCUGUUCGCCAUUUAAAGAGGUACGUGAGCUGGGUUUAAAACGUCGUGAGACAGUUUGGUCCCUAUCUUCCGUGGGCGCUGCAGAUUUGAGGAAGCCUGCUCCUAGUACGAGAGGACCGGAGUGGACGCACCUCUGGUGUACCUGUUGUCACGCCAGUGGCAUCGCAGGGUAGCUAAGUGCGGAAGAGAUAACCGCUGAAAGCAUCUAAGCGGGAAACUCGUUUCAAGAUGAGAUCUGCCGGGGCCUUGAGCCCCCUGAAGAGUCGUUCUAGACCAGGACGUUGAUAGGUCAGGUGUGGAAGCGCAGUAAUGCGUUAAGCUAACUGAUACUAAUUGCUCGUGCGGCUUGACCCU